GGAAGAAUUUGUAACGGCACAGCGCAUGUAUGAGUAGUGUAUCCGUAAAAACCACUGCUCAAGGACUUCAUGCCUAUUGUUCUUCACGUCACAAUAUGGUGAUUUAACGCAGUCAGACAAUCCAAUCAUGUUUAACUACAUUGGCGUCUCUGUUCAUGCUGACAGGUGUAUUCAGAAAUAGAAUAUGGCAGAUUUAGCGCAUAUCUGUUUAAAACGCAGGCUUAGUCCACGAAAGCGACAGAUCCUGGUCUACUGUAAGCUUGUUACGCAGAACCUGGG